AGUUUGUGGGAGCAUCCUCUACUCUCUGGAGAUGUGUUUUCAUAACUUGGCUUCAGCUGAUGUAAUUUCUUGCCAUCUGAAAAAGAGUUCCCUCCCAUCCUGCUCCCCCUUGUCAGGGGCAUGCUCCUGCUUUCUCUUGAGCAUGGUGUAGCACUCAGUUGAAGACUUAAGAUUGCAAGUGAAUACGUAUGCAACCCUAUCAUCAACUGUGAUCAGCAGUAAAACUUGGAAGUCAAACGAAGUGAACUCAGUCCUGGUACGUUUAUCAAUUUGUAGUUCCAUGGAUGUCAGAUCCCCAAAACCUCUGCAUAAAUUUUAAGAUCUUUGUCUACCAUCACAUGUGAAAGCAGAGAAGUUAUACACCACAAUUACUAGAACGUUUCAACAGCUGAAAAGCAUUUGGAAGUCACAUCCAGAAACAUCCGGACACCUGUGUUACCACCUGUCUCCACUCUGACUUAGGUAGAAAGUCCCUCCAAGUAGUUGUUUCUCAACAGAGCAAGAUCAGGUGGCUGAGAAGCACUAUGUCUGUGUCAAUGUUUCCUGUUGCUGCAGGAGUUCUGUCCAGUGACUUUCACAUCACAGCUAUUUCCCCAGCUGCAUUAUUCAAGCAACAGGAAUCUUUCUAGCUCAGAAGGUACACGAUCAUAAACAUUUUGACGGGAAGUGACCAAUUUUCCAAACUGGAAUAAAAAUCUCUGGACCAAUAUUCUGAUAGUGGCUGCAGGUAAGCCGUGGCUACAAAGAUAAGCGGUACCAUGCUUGGGAACUUUGGACAGGGAGUGUGAGAAGGUGCUGUGGCUUGUAAGGACAGAUGGAACCUCCUCAGCCACCCCUGUUGAUGGAGAAACUUUGGCCUGUUUCUUCCUGGUAGGGCUGCCUGUUCUGUCUGCAUCCCCUGCUCCUGGACUCACAUGCUCACCUCCAAGGGUUCUGCCCCUUGCUUGUGCUGCAGGGUAAAUCUUUAGUCUGUCUUUUCUAAAGUGGAGUAAGUUUUAAACAUCAUCUUCAUGGAUGCACAAGGAGAUCACAGGAAGAUUCCUUUGGGAGCCCCCACGACCUGGACAAACACAGAUGCAUCCCUGUGCUCUUUUGAGUACAGGGACUGCUCUCUGUAUCUCUACGUGGCUUUUUUACGUAUAAAUUUCACUGGUAAGCCUUUUCACUUUGUUAAAAUUAACUGCAUCAGCACUAAUAUCCAGCUGUGUUAAGAUUUAAGUACUAUCAAUAGUAUCUCAUAUGCUACCUAUUAUUCAAGCAUGACUUUGAUUAAAAUGUUUUUGUACCCAGGUGUGAACAAAAACACAUUUUGGAAGGUAUCAUAUCUCUAUCCUUACACUUGAAUUGUUUAGGAUGCAACAUUGGCUGCUGUACCUCUUCUGUGUUGGUACAUACAUGGUUAGCAUUAAGCAGUGAAACUACAGAGGCUGGCAAAACCUAAUCUUUCUGUCCUCAACCAGUCCCUCUGGUGAGGAAAUGUAUUGACUUCUAUAGAAGAAUAGAAGAUGCUGAUAAAAGGAUUGCUUAGCCCUAAUGAAAAGGCUUAAAAGAGUUAGAAGAACAUCCUGCAAAAAGCAGACCUAAGCUUCACCCCUUCUCAUCAAGCUGUCAAGGGAGUUUGCACACCACACAGCUCAGGAUUUUAUUUCAAAGGAGUACAACUGGGGUAGUCCCAUUUAUAGUUGCUUAAGAAUUUAAAAAAAAAAAAAAAAAAAAA